rnacentral:lncRNA from 1 species
UGACUUUGGGUUUCAGAUGAAUUGUGGUUCCGAGUUUAAACCGAAGCUUCGAUCCUGUGUUCUGAGAUGCACAGCCAGCCAGUCUUGUCUGCAUCAUUUGCAUCAUAGCAUGUUUAUUUUCAAAAAAAUAUGCAAUCAAAAAAAAAUUAAGAAAAAAAGAAAAAAAAGUUAAUCUCUGCAUGCAUAUCAUUUCUCAGGUACAUUCCAGAGUCUAUUCACUGAUAGAGAUGGCAACAGUCCCGGAGUUGAAGCGGAAGACUUGCUCCUAC